GCCGCGGUAGUAUAGCCCGGCUAUUAUGCGGGCCUGUCGAGCCCGUGACCCGGGUUCAAAUCCCGGCCGCGGCGCCA
rnacentral:tRNA from 1 species